AAGAGUUGCGUAGGUGGUUCUAUAAGCGAAUAGUGAAAUCCAACGGCUCAACCGUAUGGACUAUUAUUCGAACUGUGGGACUCGAGAAUGGUAGAGGUAACUGGAAUUUCUAGUGUAGGAGUGAAAUCCGUAGAUAUUAGAAGGAACACCAAUGGCGUAGGCAGGUUACUGGACCAUUUCUGACACUGAGGCACGAAAGCGUGGGGAGCGAACCGGAUUAGAUACCCGGGUAGUCCACGCCGUAAACUAUGGAUACUAGCUGUUGGGGGUAUCGACCCCCCCAGUAGCGAAGCUAACGCGUUAAGUAUCCCGCCUGUGGAGUACGGUCGCAAGACUAAAACAUAAAGGAAUUGACGGGGAGCCGCACAAGCGGUGGAUCAUGUUCUUUAAUUCGAUGAUAAACGAAGAACCUUACCAGGGUUUGACAUCCUUGGAAUUUCUCCGAAAGGAGAGAGUGCUUUAUUGAGCCAAGUGACAGGUGCUGCAUGGCCGCCGUCAGCUCGUGUCGUGAGAUGUUUGGUUAAGUCCAUUAACGAGCGCAACCCUUGUGAAUAGUUGUAUUUUUCUAUUCAAACUGCCCCGGCAACGGGGAGGAAGGAGGGGAUGAUGUCAGGUCAGUAUUGCCCUUAC
rnacentral:rRNA from 1 species